GGACCGGGGGGGGACUCGGAGGGGGACCCGGUGCUCGCCUCCUGCCCGCCCCCAGCCGCUCCCGGUGCUGGCUUUGGGGCGAGCAGCGCCCCGACAGCAGCAUCUUGGGGUUCCCCUGGCAUGGAGCAAGAGAGCUGAGCGAAGGGAGAUGGGAUCUUCCUUCCCAUCCUGGAAGCGAAGGGUCAUGCCAGCAGAGUUGCUCUUUCUUCUUUAUCUCCACUUGGCUACAUUUGGAAGAGAUUAGCGUUGCAUUUGUUUGACAUCCAGGUUAAUAGCUUCCCUUCGUCCCAGCCUCGGCUUCCGGUGUUGGCUAUCUGGAAAGCCAGGACGAAAAUUAAUUGACAAACUCUUGGGAGAGGAUCUCCAAAGAAAACUCAGACCAGAUUUGAAAAGAGGCUGCUCUGAAGUGUGCUGAUUUGGAUGGGAGCCACCGAGGGAAAAUUAGAGAUUUUCAGGAGUUUGCUGCCAAGGAGUUAAUGGCCAAGAGUUGAGGUUUGCAAUAAAUACGCUGGUAAUUAAUUAUA